AUGACGUCAAGUCCUCAUGGCCUUAUGGGUAGGGCUUCACACGUCAUACAAUGGUCGGUACAGAGGGUUGCCAAGCCGCGAGGUGGAGCCAAUCCCAGAAAGCCGAUCGUAGUCCGGAUCGGAGUCUGCAACUCGACUCCGUGAAGUCGGAAUCGCUAGUAAUCGUGGAUCAGCAUGCCACGGUGAAUACGUUCCCGGGUCUU
rnacentral:rRNA from 1 species